rnacentral:rRNA from 1 species
GGCCGCAGUAUUUUGACUGUGCAAAGGUAGCAUAAUCAUUAGUCUUUUAAUUGAAGGCUGGUAUGAAUGGUUGGACGAGGUAAAUACUGUUUUAUAGAAAUUAUAAUUGAAUUUAGAUUUUAAGUAAAAAGACUUAAAUUGUAUUAAGGGACGAGAAGACCCUAUAGAGUUUAAUAUGUGUAAUUUUGGUUAAGUUAUUAAGAAAAUUUUGGUCAUUAUGAAAUUUAUUUAAUUGGGGUGAUAGAAAAAUAAAAUGAACUUUUUUUUAAUUUAAAUAUUUUAAGUAAAUAAAUGAUCCAUAUUUAGUGAUUAGAAGAUUAAAUUACCUUAGGGAUAACAGCAUAA